GUCUAAGGCCAUACCACCCUGAACACGCCCGAUCUCGUCUGAUCUCAGAAGCUAAGCAGGGUUAGUACUUGGAUGGGAGAAAUGGCCCUCCCCU
rnacentral:rRNA from 1 species